rnacentral:rRNA from 1 species
GACGAACGCUGGCGGCGUGCUUAACACAUGCAAGUCGAACGGGCCCGCUCUCUUUUUUGGGGGUGGGUUGAGUGGCGAACGGGUGAGUAUCACGUGAGUAACCUGCCCCCUGCUCCUGGAUAACUGCUUGAAAGGGCGGCUAAUACGGGGUGUGCCGGCUGGUCCGCAUGGGCCUGGUCGGGAUAGUUUCAUCUUCGGGUGUUUCGGUGGGGGAUGGGCUCGCGGCCUAUCAGCUUGUUGGUGGGGUGAUGGCCCACCAAGGCGGUGACGGGUAGCCGGCCUGAGAGGGUGGGCGGCCACACUGGGACUGAGACACGGCCCAGAAUCCUGCGGGAGGCAGCAGUGGGGGGUAUUGCACAAUGGGCGGAAGCCUGAUGCAGCGACGUCGCGUGAGGGAUGGAGGCCUUCGGGUUGUGAACCUCUUUCUCCGGUGGUGAAGGCCCUGUCCGUUGCGGCGGGGUUGACGGUAGCCGGGUAUGAAGCGCCGGCUAACUACGUG